UAUGAUUUUAAGUUAAAUUAAACUAUUAAUUUUCAAAAUUAAAAUUAAAGAUAUACUUCUUUAAGUC
rnacentral:tRNA from 1 species